rnacentral:rRNA from 1 species
AGGAUGGGUCUGCGGCCUAUCAGGUAGUAGUGGGUGUAAUGUACCUACUAGCCUACGACGGGGUACGGGUUGUGAGAGCAAGAGCCCGGAGAUGGAUUCUGAGACAUGAAUCCAGGCCCUACGGGGCGCAGCAGGCGCGAAAACUUUACAAUGCGGGAAACCGUGAUAAGGGGACACCGAGUGCCAGCAUCAUAUGUUGGCUGUCCAGAUGUGUAAAAUACAUCUGUUAGCAAGGGCCGGGCAAGACCGGUGCCAGCCGCCGCGGUAACACCAGCGGCCCGAGUGGUGAUCGUGAUUAUUGGGGUCUAAAGGGUCCGUAGCCGGUUUGGUCAGUCCUCCGGGAAAUCUGACGGCUCAACCGUUAGGCUUUCGGUGGAUACUGCCAGACUUGGAACCGGGAGAGGUAAGAGGUACUACAGGGGUAGGAGUGAAAUCUUGUAAUCCCUGUGAGACCACCUGUGGCGAAGGCGUCUUACCAGAACGGGUUCGACGGUGAGGGACGAAAGCUGGGGGCGCGAACCGGAUUAGAUACCCGGGUAGUCCCCAGCCGUAAACGAUGCUCG